GAUGAACGCUGGCGGCGUGCUUAACACAUGCAAGUCGAACGAUGAAGCCCAGCUUGCUGGGUGGAUUAGUGGCGAACGGGUGAGUAACACGUGAGUAACCUGCCCUUAACUCUGGGAUAAGCCUGGGAAACUGGGUCUAAUACCGGAUAGGAGCGCCUACCGCAUGGUGGGUGUUGGAAAGAUUUAUCGGUUUUGGAUGGACUCGCGGCCUAUCAGCUUGUUGGUGAGGUAAUGGCUCACCAAGGCGACGACGGGUAGCCGGCCUGAGAGGGUGACCGGCCACACUGGGACUGAGACACGGCCCAGACUCCUACGGGAGGCAGCAGUGGGGAAUAUUGCACAAUGGGCGAAAGCCUGAUGCAGCGACGCCGCGUGAGGGAUGACGGCCUUCGGGUUGUAAACCUCUUUCAGUAGGGAAGAAGCGAAAGUGACGGUACCUGCCGAAGAAGCACCGGCUAACUACGUGCCAGCAGCCGCGGUAAAAAGGUAGGGUGCGAGCGGUUUUCCGGGAAUUAUUGGGCGUAAAGAGCUCGUACGCGGUUUGUCGCGUCUGUCGUGAAAGUCCCGGGGCUUUACCCCGGAUUCUGCGGUGGGUACGGGCAGACUAGAGUGCAGUAGGGGAGACUUGGAAUUCCUGGUGUAGCGGUGGAAUGCGCAGAUAUCAGGAGGAACACCGAUGGCGAAGGCAGGUCUCUGGGCUGUAACUGACGCUGAGGAGCGAAAGCAUGGGGAGCGAACAGGAUUAGAUACCCUGGUAGUCCAUGCCGUAAACGUUGGGCACUAGGUGUGGGGACCAUUCCACGGUUUCCGCGCCGCAGCUAACGCAUUAAGUGCCCCGCCUGGGGAGUACGGCCGCAAGGCUAAAACUCAAAGGAAUUGACGGGGGCCCGCACAAGCGGCGGAGCAUGCGGAUUAAUUCGAUGCAACGCGAAGAACCUUACCAAGGCUUGACAUGUUCCCGAUCGCCGUAGAGAUACGGUUUCCCCUUUGGGGCGGGUUCACAGGUGGUGCAUGGUUGUCGUCAGCUCGUGUCGUGAGAUGUUGGGUUAAGUCCCGCAACGAGCGCAACCCUCGUUCCAUGUUGCCAGCACGUAAUGGUGGGGACUCAUGGGAGACUGCCGGGGUCAACUCGGAGGAAGGUGAGGACGACGUCAAAUCAUCAUGCCCCUUAUGUCUUGGGCUUCACGCAUGCUACAAUGGCCGGUACAAUGGGUUGCGAUACUGUGAGGUGGAGCUAAUCCCAAAAAGCCGGUCUCAGUUCGGAUUGGGGUCUGCAACUCGACCCCAUGAAGUCGGAGUCGCUAGUAAUCGCAGAUCAGCAACGCUGCGGUGAAUACGUUCCCGGGCCU
rnacentral:rRNA from 1 species